AAAAUGUUUGUCAGAUAUUGGCUUGCAAAUAUUUUCUCCCAGUCUGCAGGUUGUCUUUUCACCCUCUAAACAGAGUCUUUCACAGCAUGAAACAAAUGGAGGCUUUAAAUGGCCAUUUCAGAAAAGCCUGACCUAGCCUUGAGAGCGUCGGACACGGUCACUCCACCGGUUCCCACUCACGAGGGCAGAUCAUGGGUUUAAAUCCCAUUUGGGUGUGCUAAUUCAGCUUCACAAUAGCUCACCCACCAUGGGCUUAACGCUAUUCAGUGGCCACAGGUGAGUGUGUUUCAGGACAUCACAAAAAGAUAAGCUGAGAAAGAGUGGCCCACCGCUGCCAGAACAGCUUGAGGGCAAGUCCCCACUGACCCGGAAAGUGAGUCAGUUGCAUCACCCCCUUAGAAACCUGGAAAAUGCUUCAUCAUCGGUGUAGAGCGAGAGCCAGCAUUCAAAACGCCAGGGGGCUUAUCAGGCCAUUUCACCACAACAUAAAGUAACAGGCAGACUUGAAUUCAUCUGGCACUGUUGACCAACACAGAGAGCCAAAACACACACGGAAUUCAAAAUCAGAAAUAAUCCCAAGUUUGAGUCAUCCAAUGUGCUUGUCUACAUUGAUUGCACUCACCAGAUAAAAGUCCAAUGCACUCUGUGGGGUGAAACAGCCUCUGUCUCAGGUUGGGAGUUGCUGCCAUGGAGACCACAAGAGUGGAGAUUUUCUGACACACAGAAAGGAAUGGAUUACAGCUCCUUCUUAUGUAAAUUUCCAUGGAGGGGAAAAAAGAUUAAAAGGAAAAUAAUUCUGCUUUAGUCGUUUUCCUUUAAGGUGAUAAGAUCCUUUGAUUCCAUCGUGGAGAAGAAGGCAACAGCUGUUUGUCACAAAUGAUGGGAAAUGUGCCAACGUCACAACAAGGUUUGAGGGAGGCACAUCUCAUGCUCGGACAUGAACACCCGAUCAUCAUGCUUAUGAACUACAAAAGGAUCUCCAGUAUGGGCUCACGGCAGUUGGCCCUUGAAUAACAUGAAUUUGAACUGCCUGAGUCUGCUAAUAUGUGGAUUAUCUUCUGCUUCUGCACCCUGAGACAGCAAGACCAACCCUUCCUCUUGCUUCUUUUCCUUAGCCUAUUCAACGUGAAGAUGACUAAGGUUUCCCAGGAUGUACAGAGAAGUCCAGCCUCACCGUAGCACCUGAGCAGUGGGUGGGAAAUAGCUGAGGGACACAUCUCAAUCGAUGAACCAGCACUCCUGAUUCUCUGCAGCCUGCAAACUUCGGGCAUGAAAAAACCCUGAAAAACUGAGCGUUUGCUUCUCAGCGACUCAGCUUGAAAGAGGCUGUUUUAAACUGGAAGAGGUUGAGAGGCCUUCAGUUGGUGAGUUUAUUAUUUUCCCUUGCUCCUCUGUGAAAUGAAGCUCAUGAAGAAGCGUAGGUCAGGUACAGAAUAUAAAAGAAUGACCUUUUCUUUUUCCUGGACAAUUUAAGUGCACUGUCAUCUCACAACCUCAAACUCUUUAAUAUGGUAAUGAGAGGCAAAAGGCAUUUUAAUUUGGAGCUAUGUCGCAGUUUUCCAGCAUGUGAAGAAAGCAUCCUCAGUUGCCAAAAGGUCACGUGUGGGAUUAGUUGCUAGGCUGUGGGAUUAUUUUUCUAGGCUUGCUGGGGAAAAGGGCAAAAGAGAAGAAGCAAACUAGCAGAGUCAUGUGGCGUUUCUGUCCUGGGACUUACGCAAAUUAUGCAAUUGUCCUUUGCAUUCAAAUCUGUUCCUCUUCCACCUGAUAUUUUGCUGAGGGGACAAGUGAAAUUCCAAAGCUCAGUUUGCUGAAGUGUGCAAAAUGCUAAUCAGCUUCCACAGCCCACAAAGUGGCAGAGAGGGCGUGCCUCUCUGGAGAAGAGAGGAGAGACUGGACUAGGAGCUGGGAGGAGUCUGGCUGACUCAGCGGCCCCAGACAAACGCACUUCCAUCCUUUCCCAUUUCCGUUGUGAACUCUUCUCCGUGGGCAAGAAGAGGACUCAGAACAACUGCUAUCUUUUUACAAAGAAGGAUGAUGUGCAAGGGGGUCAUUUACAAGAGGAUCAAGGGUUUGGCUAUGUUGGGAGAUGCUGAUUUUGAUAAAUGUUUCCAUAUCUCUACAAAUGUGCCUUUCUGAGUCUCCAGUUAGACUUGAAAAAGACUUUGGAGAUUGUCCCCUGCACAGUGGCUCUGAGCCUGGACACCUAGGAGAUGCUCAGUAAAUAUCUGUUAAAUAAAUGAAGGAAUGGAUAUAGUCCAAACUACUUGGUCAUGCAUCCAGUUUGUGGCAGAUUUGGGUCUCUAAGGCCCAGUACACUAAUCACUCAGCUGGGAGUUUUUAUUCUGUUCCAUCUUGCUGCUAGGACAACUGUAGCCACCCAGAAGGAUGUCUCAACGCUCUGGAAAGUUCUCUGGCUGAAUGUUGCUAUGAUACAAUCUUUUAACAAGCUGAUUGCUCAGUAGCAAGAGCAAGUGCUAUUUAUGUUGGGUAAAUAAGAAGAAAUGCUGCCCUACUGAUAUUUGUUAAGUGCCCCUUUAAUAUUUGUGAGGAGGCGAUCUUGACAAAAUUUUGAGAGUGUAUACACUGGCAAAUUUUACCUUUUAUGGACUGUAAUAUCCUAUUGCUACUUGAUUUAAAAAUCUUUCCCUCUCUUCACAUAUAUCCAUAUGAAAAAAAACAGCAGAGAGAGAUAUAUGUAUAUUAUAUGGGAGAUAUCUAUCUAUCAUCUAUCUAUCUCCCACUUAUGACCUGAAAGCCCCGUCUUUGAGAUGUUCUGCCUUUCCAGCCUAAAUCAAUGUAUACCUUACAUGUAUUGAUUUAUGUCUUUGCCUGUAACUUCUGUUUUCCUAAAAUGUAUAAAACUAAACUGUAAUUCAGUCACCUUGGGUACACUUUCUCAAGCUUUCUUGAGACUGUUUCCCAGGCCAUGGUCAGAAUAAAC
rnacentral:lncRNA from 10 species